AGCAGAGUGGAGCAGUGGAAGCGUGCUGGGCCCAUAACCCAAAAAUCCGAGGAUCGAAACCUUGCUCUGCUA
rnacentral:tRNA from 1 species